UAUAAAAUAAAUAUUUAAAACAUCAACUUUAAAUUCUAAACCCUAAACUUCAACUCUAAACCCUAAACUAUCAACACUAAACCCUAAACUAUCAGCCCUAGACCCUAAAAAGUAAACUCUAAACCCUAAACCCUAAAAAGUUAAUCCUAAACCCAAAAAAACCAACCCUAAAUCCUAAACCCUAAACCUUCAACUCUAAAACCUAAACAUAAACCCUAAAAACCUGAAACAUCAACUCUAAACCCUAAACCUCAACUCUAAACCCUAAACUUUAACUCUAAAGCCUAAACCCUAAAAAAUUAACCCUA
rnacentral:lncRNA from 1 species